rnacentral:rRNA from 1 species
GUGGCGAACGGGUGAGUAACACGUGAGCAACCUGCCCCAAACUCUGGAAUAAGCACUGGAAACGGUGUCUAAUACUGGAUACGAGACCAACCUGCAUGGGUAUGGUUUGGAAAGUUUUUCGGUUUGGGAUGGGCUCGCGGCCUAUCAGCUUGUUGGUGAGGUAAUGGCUCACCAAGGCGACGACGGGUAGCCGGCCUGAGAGGGCGACCGGCCACACUGGGACUGAGACACGGCCCAGACUCCUACGGGAGGCAGCAGUGGGGAAUAUUGCACAAUGGGCGAAAGCCUGAUGCAGCGACGCCGCGUGAGGGAUGACGGCCUUCGGGUUGUAAACCUCUUUCAGCAGGGAAGAAGCGAAAGUGACGGUACCUGCAGAAGAAGCACCGGCUAACUACGUGCCAGCAGCCGCGGUAAUACGUAGGGUGCGAGCGUUGUCCGGAAUUAUUGGGCGUAAAGAGCUUGUAGGCGGUUUGUCGCGUCUGCUGUGAAAAUCCGGGGCUCAACCCCGGACUUGCAGUGGGUACGGGCAGACUAGAGUGUGGUAGGGGAGACUGGAAUUCCUGGUGUAGCGGUGAAAUGCGCAGAUAUCAGGAGGAACACCGAUGGCGAAGGCAGGUCUCUGGGCCACUACUGACGCUGAGAAGCGAAAGCAUGGGGAGCGAACAGGAUUAGAUACCCUGGUAGUCCAUGCCGUAAACGUUGGGAACUAGGUGUGGGUCUCAUUCCACGAGAUCCGUGCCGCAGCUAACGCAUUAAGUUCCCCGCCUGGGGAGUACGGCCGCAAGGCUAAAACUCAAAGGAAUUGANGGGGCCCGCACAAGCGGCGGAGCAUGCGGAUUAAUUCGAUGCAACGCGAGAACCUUACCAAGGCUUGACAUA